CAACGUUACCUUUUAGAUCUGGAUUUUUAAAGUCUUCCGAUCGACUUAGCUCCGCAUUUUUAUAGUCAUGCUGCUGACUUCGUAUUUGUUGUAGCUCUUUGUCAAUAUUUUCUACUUUUGUGCAAAGUAGGUUCAUAGCUUUGAGUAUUUCUUCUAUAGUAUUUUCUUUUUCAGUCUGUGUAGCUUUGUCUUGAUAAGUAAUCUGCAAUAACAUUCUUGUCAGUUUUUAUCACUUCAAUAGUAAAUGUAAAAUUUAAUAUAUUUAAUACCAAUCUUCUCAUUUCUUUCGUAGUUACCGAAUCUUGUAUUUUUCUUGUUAGCCAC
rnacentral:lncRNA from 1 species